GCUCCUCUUUUCUUUCAGCCCAGCCAGGCCCGCAGCGCUCGGGGUAAACUGCCUGAGUCCACCGAGGUCGCCAUCUGGCUCAUACUGGAAAAAGCAGGCACUCCUUGACAGUGCGUAGGACGCCCCCUGCCUGCGAGGCGACCAGAGGCGGCCAAGGCUGCCACCCCGGGACGGCUGGAAAAGAGUUUGCAGAAGGUUGCAGGGUUUGGGGUGAAGGAGACCCCUUCCUGCUGCCAGAUCUUGACGACCCAAGCCCAGCCUGAGGUGCUCCUAACACCACCUCUUGCUCUGCGGCCAGUUUCUCAAGUUUACCCUUGGCAACUGUUUGCAGAUAAGGAUAUUCCCAAGGCGACAUGACUUGAGACGCAUGCGCCACUUAACCAAUUGCCUUAGUGCGCUAUAAAUCCUCAUUUUUAAAAACCAAAUCUGCAGAACAUAUCUUGUGUUUUUUUCUUUGCUGGCCAGUGUUAAUUCAGUAAAUAUUUGUUGAGAACCUAUGACUUGUUAGUUACUCAAAAUAUGACACGAUUUUUCUCCCACUCCUCUCCAAGCAGAUCCAUGUUCCGGGUUGUAGUCUACGCCUUUCCGCCUCCCAGUUGGGCUGAACUGACCUUGCCAGGAACUCAGGAAUGGAUUGACAGGGGCUGUCAGGAAGAAAAAGGCUCCUGAGUCCUUGUCCUGCAGCCCUGAUUGAUCAGUGAUCUGCUUCUGUGUUUGCUGAUGGCUCUGUGGACAGAGGCGCUUGCAGACAAGCCUGGAAACCCAACCUCAUUCCCUGGAACCCACGUAGGAAGAGAACUGACUCCUGAAAGUUGUCCUCUGACUACUACGCACAUGCCUUAGCAUGUGCACACCCCUCUUCAAAUCAAUAAAUCA